rnacentral:lncRNA from 1 species
AGGGUCAGCCAGGGCUGUGGAGUGUUACCCCAGCGCCAUCCAGGGCUGUAGGGCAUUACCCCAGCGCCAUCCAGGGCUGUGGAGUGUUACCCCCAGCAUCAACCAGGGACGUGGAGUGUUACCCCAGUGUCAACCAGGGCUGUGGAGUGUUACCCACACAUCAGUCAGGGCCGCGGAGUGUUACCCUAGAGUCAGCUGGGGCCAUAGAGUGUUACCUGAGCGUCAGCCGGGGCCACAAGUGUUACCCCAGGGUCAGCCGUGGAGUGUUACCCCAGUGUCUGCUGGGGCCAUGGAAUGUUUCUGUUGUCACCCCAGAGGAGGGUGGGGCAGAGCGGGGGUUCAGUCAUCCACUGGCC